CCAUCACUUCCUGUGCCGCAGCCUGUAAACCUCUACGCUUCCUUCUGGGCUUCGAGACCCACACAGUGGACCCGGCACUUCAUUAAAACAUCUCCUUCUAAUAUAUAUCGCACUAUUUAUUUGUUUAUCCAUCAAGUGUGAAUUCAGCGGCUCAGAAUGGAAACAUCUGGUAACUCGAGUAAGAAGCAGAAACUGAGUAACGCGCCUGAGAGCUGGGGGAUGCAAAGAGCCACCAAUGUGACGUAUCAAGCCCAUCACGUGAGUAGAAACAAGCGUGGCCAGGUAGUCGGCACUAGAGGAGGAUUUCGAGGAUGCACGGUGUGGCUUACAGGUUUGUCUGGUGCGGGUAAGACAACAGUCAGCAUGGCUCUGGAGGAGUAUCUGGUGUGUCAUGGCAUCCCCUGCUACACUCUGGAUGGAGAUAACAUCAGGCAGGGCCUCAAUAAGAACCUGGGCUUCAGCCCUGAAGACCGCGAGGAGAACAUUCGUCGUAUAGCAGAAGUGGCAAAACUGUUUGCUGAUGCUGGGCUUGUGUGCAUCGCCAGCUUCAUUUCCCCGUACAGCAGGGAUCGUCUGAAUGCAAGGAAGAUCCACGAAGCUGCUGGCCUUCCAUUCUUUGAGGUGUUUGUAGAUGCUCCUCUGGAUGUGUGUGAGCAGAGAGAUGUGAAGGGGCUCUAUAAGAGGGCUAGAGCUGGAGAAAUCAGAGGUUUCACUGGAAUAGAUUCUGAGUAUGAGAAACCAGAGGCCCCUGAACUUGUACUGAAGACGGAUUCUUGCAGUGUGAACGAGUGCAUCCAGCAGCUUCUGGACCUCCUGCAGGAGAGGGACAUAGUUCCUGUGGACGCAUCCUACGAGGUCAAGGAGCUCUAUGUGCAUGAGAACAAGCUGGACUUGGCAAAGGCUGAUGCAGAGACUCUUCCAGCAGUGGAGAUCACUAAGGUGGACAUGCAGUGGGUUCAGGUGCUCGCUGAGGGCUGGGCCACUCCUCUGAACGGCUUCAUGAGGGAGAGAGAGUAUCUACAGUGCCUGCACUUCAACUGUCUGCUUGACGGUGGGGUUAUUAACCUGUCGGUGCCGGUGGUCCUCCCGGUUUCAAGUGCUGAUAAGGAGCGUCUGGAUGGCAGCACUGCGUUUGCGCUGGCCUACGGUGGUCGGAGGGUCGCGAUACUGCGAAACCCAGAGUUCUACGAACACCGCAAGGAAGAGCGAUGUGCCCGGCAGUGGGGCACCACAUGCAAGGAUCAUCCAUACAUCAAGAUGGUGAUGGAGAGCGGAGAUUGGUUGGUCGGUGGUGAUCUCCAGGUGCUGGAUCGGAUCUACUGGAAUGACGGGCUGGAUAGUUACAGGCUCACACCAACCGAACUUAAGCAGAAGUUUAAAGAGAUGAAUGCAGAUGCCGUCUUUGCCUUCCAACUGCGGAACCCAGUGCAUAAUGGCCAUGCGCUGCUCAUGCAGGACACUCAGCGGCGUCUAAUUGAACGUGGCUAUCGUCGACCCGUGCUUCUGCUUCACCCACUGGGCGGCUGGACCAAAGAUGAUGAUGUGCCGCUGGCCUGGCGCAUGAAACAGCAUGCGGCCGUCCUGGAGGAGGGACUGCUUGACCCCAACUCCACCAUAGUGGCCAUUUUCCCUUCACCGAUGAUGUACGCCGGCCCAACAGAGGUGCAGUGGCACUGUAGGGCCCGGAUGGUGGCUGGGGCCAACUUUUACAUAGUGGGCCGUGACCCCGCAGGAAUGCCUCACCCAGACACAGGUAAAGACCUCUACGAGCCCUCCCACGGAGCUAAAGUUCUCACCAUGGCCCCUGGACUCAUAUCCCUGGAAAUUGUGCCUUUCAAAGUGGCAGCCUACAAUAAAGCCAAGAAGGCCAUGGAUUUUUAUGACCCCAAAAAACACCAGGACUAUGACUUCAUCUCAGGAACCCGCAUGCGGAGGAUGGCUCGCGAGGGCCAGAACCCUCCGGAAGGCUUCAUGGCACCCAAAGCCUGGAAUGUUCUCAAGGAAUACUACCAGUCUUUGGAGAAGGCCUAAGCCGGUUUCCAGGUGUGGAGAGAGACGGAAGCAAUUCUGUUACAGUGAAAAAAGGGAAAGGAGGAGGAGAAGGAGGUGAUCUUGACAGAGAAGCGGCUUUUGGUAGCACCUGGUUCUUGUCUUUGCCGCUCCGCAGUAAGAGCCUCGGCCCGUUUGACCUUCCCUCCAGUGCUGAAAAUGCAAACCACCAUAAAGAUAUUAAAAUCUGAGAUAUAGCGCAUUACCUCAGAUGUGAGGGGUUUGAAAUGAAGAGAUCACAUGGAUAGAGGGGUAUCAUACAUCAAAUGCUACAGCCUGGCAUGUUCACAUCAAAGAGACGCAUCUGUUUCAUGACAUGAUGAGGACCCAGUCUCAUGAGGCAGCAAGGAGGAGGACGUGACAGUCAAGCCUCUCGUGCUCCUCAUCUUGUCCUCGUUCACCGUCUGAGUGUCUUCACACUCUAUGGCAGCGCUCCAACCUCAUGCCACCUACCUGGGAGCUGUUCAAAUCUGCCAUUUACAGGAGCCAGGUGGUGACCCAGUUGUAAUGCACUGGAGUGGAGUGGCUCAUUGGAGUAACUCUGUUCGUCUGAUUGAAAGCUGUCAGCACAUCUUAAUGCCUUUUGGACACAAUGAGUUGAUGACGAAGUUAACUCCAUUCCCCAUUUUGAAUGAUGACUGCUGUGCAUGUUGGGAUUUCUUUAAUUGAUGAUGGAUACAUGCAACACGAUCUCAGAACUGAACCAAAACAAGGACUUCAUGGCAUCUUAUCAUGCCAGCUGGGCACGAAAGCGUUGGCUGGAAUGGACACUGGUAGUCAGUGCACAGGGUGCCCGGUCCCUGCCUGCUGCUUCUGCAAUCCCUACAUCUCAUGUUUAGGGACAAUGAGCCAUUGUGUGGCAGUUAUUCAAUCCUGUUCAGCUUGCGAGCUUUGACAGUGAGUGAUCACAUAAAAUGAUGUCACUGCAAAUGCUUGUAAGCCAAGUACAAAGGAGCACCUAGAUACUGAUCUGCGGCCAGAUUAAUGUGAGGGAACACUGAAGAAUUCAGAGGAAGUCUGUAACAAAAGUCACAAGCGUGUUGAUUUUACAGAAUAAGGCAAUUUUGUACCUUUAAAAGAUACAUGGAUUGGAAGACUGCUGUUCUGCCAUGAUUUUACUGAACAUUUUAAAUGACAACAAUGGAAAAGACACCCAGGAUCCACAGAACUUGGAAUACCUGAUUUCCAAAAAGUUCUACAAAUCCCAUGACCCUUCCGUAUUCAUUUAUUGACUGUUAAGCUAAUUGAUUAUGCUUUCAGCCACAAGUAAGAGUGUUCACACAAAAAAAAUAUGUUGUAAUCCACCCAAUGUUUUUUGAACUUUCAUUGUAUGGAUAAAAACAGUUCAAAAUGUUGUUUAUCUUUCCGAAAGAAAGUCAUACAUGCUUGGAACGCUUAAAAAUUCUACAAAAAAGGUACUUUAUAUUAUUAAAAUAUUCAUCUAAGAAGAAAAAAAAAGGUUAUUUUUAAGAACUUUCCUUCUUAAGAUUCUUUGUAGUUUCUUUGUAUGUUCUAUGGUGUUGGUGUGAAAACUCCUUUUUGGAACUUUCAUUUUUAAAAUUGUGUGUAAACGCAGAAGGAACCCCAGAAUUCCAUUGUUUUUCCCGUCAAAAUCAGUGUGGAAAAUGCAAAAAUAAAUCUGCUGCUUCCAUGGAUCAAAUUCCAUCUGGUCCUGCAGAUGACGUCAAGUUUUAUUUGCUCUGAAAUUGAGUGUUGAUGGCUGUUCACCAUGUACUCAAUAUAAUGUACAGAAAUGUAAAUGUAAUGAAUUAUAAGGCAAAACUCACAAAAACA